rnacentral:rRNA from 1 species
AUGGGUUCACAAUUUGUUAUUUGUUGGCGUGCACUGCAAAGAAGACAACACCUCCCGAUCUGCAGCUCGUCUCCAAAGGCAUUGACCAGAACCAUGGAUUCCUCCUCCUCGCAACUCCUCACAGCUGCGACAGCAGCCAACUCAACCUUCUACCUGUCCCAAUGGAGAUCACAGGUGAUGAUGGGAGUGGAAUCCUCCUUGCUUGCACAGCAGAACAGCCUCCUCCGCACAAUCCUCGCAUGCAUCCUCUCCUUCUUGACGGCGACCAUGUCCAGCGCCGCGGGCGUCGGUGGUGGCUCGCUGUACGUCCCGAUCCUCAACAUCGUGGCCGGACUGAGCCUCAAGACCUCCGUGGCAUUCUCGACGUUCAUGGUGACCGGCGGCACGCUGUCCAACGUGCUCUACACCCUGCUGGCCCACGGCCCCGGGCUGAUCGACUACGAUGUCGCUGUGGUCUCGCAGCCGUGCCUGCUCCUCGGGGUGAGCGUCGGGGUGGUGUGCAACGUCAUGUUCCCCGAGUGGCUCAUCACCGUGCUCUUCACCGCGUUCCUCUCCUUGGCAACGUUCAAGACAUACGGCACCGGGUUGAAGCGGUGGCGAGCGGAGUCGGCAGCAACGGAAAGGGGGGUGCUUGAGGGAGUGAGCACCAGGGAGGGCGCCGAGGAAGCACUGCUUAUUGGCCAGAAAGAAGGGGCCGGCCAUGGGUAUCACUGGGUGGACUUAGCGGUGCUUUUAUCCGUCUGGCUUUGCUUCUUCGUCAUUCAUCUGUUCAUAGGAGGUGAGGGUGCCAAGGGGGCUUUUGACAUAAAGCCGUGUGGCGUUGCAUACUGGCUUAUCACAGUCGCUCAAAUCCCUGUCGCCGCAACUUACGUGAAGAGCAGGCUGGACGCUUUGCCGGUGUAUGCCUUCCCCGUGGCUGCUCUGCUGACCGGUGUGAUGGGCGGACUCUUCGGCAUUGGAGGAGGACUGCUUCUCAAUCCUGUCUUACUCCACAUUGGAGUGCCUCCAAAAACAGCGUCAGCGACGACAAUGUUCAUGGUCCUCUUCUGCGCCUCCAUGUCAAUGGUCCAGUUUAUAAUCCUGGGAGUUGACGGGAUCGUGGGCGCGUUGGUCUACGCCCUCACCUGCUUUGUGGCUUCCAUCGUUGGGCUGGUCGUGAUAGAAGGGGCCAUCAGGAGGUCGGGCAGGGUUUCGCUCAUAGUCCUCAUGGUUGCUGCCAUCUUGGCGCUCAGCGCCGUCGUCAUAGCUUGCUCCGGCGGGGUGCAUGUCUGGGCGCAGUACACCAGUGGGCAGUACAUGGGCUUCAAGCUCCCAUGCUAA